rnacentral:rRNA from 1 species
UGGGGAAUAUUGGACAAUGGGGGCAACCCUGAUCCAGCAAUGCCGCGUGUGUGAAGAAGGUCUUCGGAUUGUAAAGCACUUUCGACGGGGACGAUGAUGACGGUACCCGUAGAAGAAGCCCCGGCUAACUUCGUGCCAGCAGCCGCGGUAAUACGAAGGGGGCUAGCGUUGCUCGGAAUGACUGGGCGUAAAGGGCGUGUAGGCGGUUUACACAGUCAGAUGUGAAAUCCCCGGGCUUAACCUGGGAGCUGCAUUUGAUACGUGUAGACUAGAGUGUGAGAGAGGGUUGUGGAAUUCCCAGUGUAGAGGUGAAAUUCGUAGAUAUUGGGAAGAACACCGGUGGCGAAGGCGGCAACCUGGCUCAUGACUGACGCUGAGGCGCGAAAGCGUGGGGAGCAAACAGGAUUAGAUACCCUGGUAGUCCACGCUGUAAACGAUGUGUGCUAGAUGUUGGGUAACUUUGUUAUUCAGUGUCGC